rnacentral:lncRNA from 1 species
CACAAUGGGGAAACUGAACUGGAACUCUACUGACAACGCAGUUGGGAGUUCAAACUUAAUAACCUUCCAGAGUUGGUAUCAAAUUCAGACGCUGACGCUCCUUGGAGAGGUUCUUUGCUGCAAGAGGAUGGAAAGGAUCACUGUGAUUUUGUUUUUCUCCUGCUGCUCUGUCUGGAAGCCAUGUGAGGAGGACAUCUGAGCAGCCCUGUGGAGAGGCCCCCAGCCAACAGCCAGCAUGAACUUGCUGGGCAUGUGAGUGCACCACCUUGAAAGUAGAGCCUCAACCCCUGGUCAAGCCAUCAGGGAGAGCUCAAGCUGGCCUGUUGGAAGAUGACAGGCCAUAUGCAACAGACGUGAAGUGUCCCAGCUGAUCCCCUUCCAGAACACCCACCUUCCAGAUGACCACAGAUGCAAGGGUGAGCCAGCCAAUAGCUGCUGAGACAUUCCCAGAAAGACAGAACAUCCAGCUGACCCAUGGACUCAUGGGCGAUCAUGGAUAAAUGGAUAUUGUUUCAAGCUACUAGGUUUGGGGUUGGUUUGUUACGCAGCAAUAGCUAACAGCUACACCUCUAUUUUAAGGAGUUGUGAAGAUAAAUUGCAAAGGUACAGAAAAAUGAAUAGCUAUAACAGCUACUAGUGAUUGAGUGCUGGCUCUGCCUGGUACUGUGCUCAGGAUUGGCAUGCAUUAUCUCAAAGAGUUGCACAGGCUAGAAGGGCUGCAGCUGAAGAUUCUAGAAGAGUUCAGGUAUAAUGCCUGGCACAUGGUACCUGUUUCAUGUAUGCUAGUUGUUGGAUGCUGCUGAUGCUGGCAGCACGUGGAACUCCUGACACAUGCCUCUGAUUUGGUAGUGGGGUCUGAACUUUGUAAUCUGUGUGUCCAGAGACCUUGGGAAGUCUUCAGCCAAGGGCAGACCAGGAGGUAGCUUUUGUGAUCUGAGUGCAGAGAAGUUUCUUAGAGUGAAUGGCAUCCAGAUAGGGUGGGGAAAAAGCAUUAGCCAGGGUGCUCCACACACUCCCCUCACUAGUGUGGUCCCUGGACCAGCAGCCUCAGCCUCCCCUGGGCCCUUAUUAGAAAUGCAGAAUCUCAGGUCCUACCCCUGCUUACUGAAUCAGUAAGAGCAUUUUAACAAGAUCCCCAGGGGAUUUGUGUGCAUGUUAGAGUUUGUCCAGAACACUCUUCUCAAGCUAUCUGUGCUGAGACACCAGUAUUUUUUUCAAAUUCCAAU